GUGCUCGCUUUGGCAGCACAUAUACUAAAAUGGGAAAGAUACAGAGAUGAUUAGCAUGGCUCCUGUAGAAGGAUGGCAUACAAAUUAAGGAAGUGUUCCAUAUUUAA
ensembl:snRNA U6 U6 spliceosomal RNA